CUGACAUCUUGAGCUCUUAUUUUAUGCAGGGCCCUGUCCUGUGCUGACACACCAGCAAUUUGCUUGUGUUAACUUCUUUAAUUCUUGUAGCUCCUCUGUAAAAUAGGCGAUUAUCUUGCUUCUCGUUUUGCAGAGGGAACAGGCCUGGAGCAGUGAAAACUCUUAACCUUUCUGUUACUCUGAUCUUGGCAACUGGUCUCUCAUGUAUUCCUGAUGGCGUGCUUGAAAGUGGAACAUCCCAGAGCUGACAAAGACACUUACAAAGGAGGCCAGCUCUAUUUCUGGAAAGCUCACAGAAGGACAGAGCCCCUCACUGUGCUUUCUACAGGUGCUGCCUCUCCCCCAGGACACUCCAGUAAGGGGAUGAGACUCCUGGGGCUCCUGGGGGGGCGACGGGGCAGGUGGGCCAUCCUCCCUCACUCAGGAGCCAUCCCUUCUCAUGCAUUCAAGCUCCAAACUCUCACAUGCCCCCUUCUCUCCCAUUUCCCUGUAAGCCUCCCUCACUUCCUGAGUCCCAGUGGCAGCCUGGCUGCCUGCCAUUUUGGUUUCCUCCCCCUGGCUCAUCCUCAUCCUUGCUCUUGGAGGAACACCUCCAAAACUCAGAUGGGAGCCUCUCCUUCCCCUUCAAUGGCUGCCUCUAAUGGAAAGAACAUGCUCCUCAAAAUGAACAGCAAGCCUGUCCACGCUCUGACCCCAACUCCACGUCCACGCACCCCUCCACUGGCCCAGGGGCCGACCACCAUCAACUACCCCCAGGCUGAGUCCUGCGCACCCUCAGAGGAGUCAGGAGGAACAGGGUUCUUACUACACACGACGACAGGUUUUUUUGCCCCGACUAGACUGGAAGCUUCCUCAAGGAAGGUGCACGUCUUCUUGUCUUGUGUUUUCUUCACGUGGUUGACUGCCUAGAACCUGGGCUCCACAGAUCAUGAGUGAAUGAGGUGUGCUCCUCCUGUUUGUCCCAUACUUGUUUGGAAUUUUCUGCAAACAUCUGGUUGCUGACUCUUAUUUUGAUCUACU
rnacentral:lncRNA from 1 species